rnacentral:rRNA from 1 species
GACGAACCGUGCGAACGUUGUUCGGAAUCACUGGGCUUAAAGGGCGCGUAGGCGGGCCAGCAAGUCAGGGGUGAAAGCCCACGGCUCAACCGUGGAAGUGCCUCUGAUACUGUUGGCCUCGAGGGAGGUAGGGGCGUGCGGAACUUCCGGUGGAGCGGUGAAAUGCGUAGAUAUCGGAAGGAACACCUGUGGCGAAAGCGGCGCACUGGACCACAACUGACGCUGAGGCGCGAAAGCUAGGGGAGCAAACAGG